rnacentral:lncRNA from 1 species
CUUAAAGGAGAUGUGACAUGAUUUUUUUUUUUUUUUUUUUUUUUAAAUAAAUAUUUAUUUAUACAUAAUUACCCCCAAAAAACAUCGAUAACAAUAUAAUUAUCGUUUAAAUGGAUAAAAAAUAAAUUUAAAUGUAUCGAUCUGUCGUCAUACUAAUUAUGCAUAUUUCAAUCCCGGAAGUCACUCAGAACGAGGCUGUGACGUCAGUGGUUACAUCAAUCAUAUUUGACUGACGGGUGUAAAGGCAUAAUAAGCGCAAUUUCAUAUUCGAAUAUCUUCCAACAAAACCCAUGACAGUGAUUAAAAAUGGUUCUGUGUUCUGCCAGUAGAUGCAACAAUAGGCAUAAGGACUAUUUG